GAUGCGCGGGCGGCGGCGACCGCGGGCGGGGGGGGGCGGAUGGGGAGGUCGGGGGGUGGCCGGCGUCGCUCAGCAUCGUGUGUGAGCAAAUGGCCGUGGUAGCAAGGAGGAAGAUUUGGGCUCUUUGGGAGGUGUGUUAUAAACACCAGUGGGGGGUGAACACAGCUUCACGCGUGGGUGCUACAGCUCCAGAGCCUGUUCGGCGCCCCCCCCCACCCCCCCCCCCGCCAAGCACAAAGAGAGGUCAGCGGCCUGAAAUAUUAACUCCUUUUCUCUCUACUUUUGCCUCGCCAAUGCUUUAUAUCUAGCUUUGGGGUUUUUUUUCCUCUCCUUUUAAAAUUAAUUUUAUUUUUUUCAAUAAUUUCAUUUUAAUUUAUACCAGUACAGACUUCAGGCAGUUUAGAUGCCUGACUUGCCUCCCCUGCCCCCAGGGACUGGAGUAUGUUACUGCCGAGUUAUAGUUUAACUUGUCCGCAGGUAAUAAUUAAAGACCUUUCUAAAUCUCUUCCCCCCACAGAAACACAGAGACUUUCUUUUGCAAUAGAUUAUAUUGAUCACACACACAGGCACGCUCUCCUCAGAGCCGCCGCCGAUCACAUGCAGCAGGUAGAGCUGCCUGUGAGCUGCUCUCAAUUCAGUGUGCUCCGCUCACGCUCCCCUGGACCUUCCUCCCCCCCCCCCCCCCCCCUUUUUUUAACUGAAAGGUUUCUUCAGGAAUGCAUUUCUAUGAACGCUUCCAAAUCCCCCCCUCAAGAGGAAGCUCCACAUGCAAAAGGGGACUGACAGUCGCUCAGAUGCACACAUCCAGGCUUUGGCCAUACCGCUGAAUUUCAUCCCAUAGUCACAUUGUGGCAGGAAAAAGGAAUCGCUAAAGAUUGGCCCUCGCUGCAAAGAGAAGCUUAAGGAUACAGUGGUGAGGCUAGAUUUCCCCUUUAAUCCCCACCUCCAAAUUUUCCCUGUGAGCCCAAGCUUUGGCGCAGGAUCUGAGAGGUAGGAAUCCUAUCUCUUCUAAGCUCUGAACGGUUUGAAGGUUGUGUCAAGAAGAAUGAGGUCUCUGCACGAAUAUGAUGGGGAGAAAAAAACAUCCAGCCUGUGACAGAGAAGGCGAUAGAAGCAGCCAAGCAGUCCAGAGAGGAAAACUGGGACUGGUGUUUGGAGGCAGGAGACUGGGACUGAUUAGGUAAGGAGACACAGAGGUUGUGCAGAGAAAGCCGACAGAAACCGUUCGGUUGAGGAGCCUGGAGGGGAGAUAGGAGGGCAAGGAUAGCAAAACGGACUAACGUCAGCCAAGAGCAAAGAAGCCUAAUUGCAGAAUGUCCAGAGUAGCUGGGCUGAAUUUCAUUUGAAACAUGGUAGAGAUUUUCAAAGUCAAAGUGUUUUAUUUCAGUAUUUUAAACCGAUGCAGUUUGGCUGUAUCAUCAUUGUUUUUUAUUUGGAAUAGAAUCUGUUUUCUAAUGCUAAAAAAGACUUUAAUGACCUUCAAAAGAGAAGUAUUUCAGAGCUGAUCCAAAACAUUUUUUUUUUUUGGUGUGUCGCCACCACAAUAAGGAAAUGUGUUCUAUGGUCAACACUAGCUGCAACAUCAGGCACUGGGAUGUUAAGGAAAUGACUAACCUGAGGGUUUCAGAGCACCUUGAUGCAGCCUCCAUACAUUAUGAUACACAACCACGCAGCGCUUAUUCCACAAAUUUCCUGAAGCAGAAAUGAAGCCCUGCAAGGUACACUUCCUCUGGGGACAGAUCAGAACUUUGUCGGUUUUAUUCACUAGAUUCCUCUCUAAUUUGUCACAGAAUUGGGUAUGGUUCAUGUACGAGGUAGCUAAUCACAAGAAGAGAAAGCAGGGCUUUGUGGCAAGGCAAUAGAUGAAUUUUGCCUGCUGAGUUUGCUUCCAUUCCCCUUUAACCCCAAAGCUUCUACAGUGUGGGGGAAGUUGCCUCAAGAGGCAAUGAUUCACUGACAUUUUCGUAUUAUGAGGGCCCUUCUUGAAAUUUUGGGGUCUGGUAGGCUGAAGUGAAUCACUCACUGCCUCAGACAAAAUCCAUGGGACUGUGCAUUGACUGCACCAAGUGAUGCUGAGUGCAAAGAAGAUUGAAAAUAUCAAGUAGUCAGUAUCUCUAAUUGGAUACUCCAAAUCAGCAGGCAUUUUUUACUUUAAUCUCAUUUGUUUGGAAUACAGAUUUAUUAAAAAGGGUAGAACGAUCUCAUUGCUUCAGUUUCAGGUUAGAAAAGACAUUUUCUAAGCACGCAGAUACUAUUGCACGGUGGGGAGAGGAACAGAGAAAACCAACAGUGUUGGGUUCACAUUAGGAUUUAAGUUGUGUGCCCCAAAUAAAACCUACAGAGUCCCACACAGGUAAGCUUGGCAGUGGAAACUAACUCCUGAAGAAAGCUUUGCCCACGUACUACUCAGAAUGCCAAAGGGGUGCUUGUGGAGGAGAUCAAGCACCAAAGUCCCACCGCCCUGUCAAAUUGCAUUCAUACACCAUUGUGCUGAGAACAGAUGAAACAAAAGCUUUGUAAAGUUACUCUUGAAAAGGGGGGAAUGAGAGGAAGAAAAAAGCAGCGGGACAAGCCCAGGGUAUCAGAGGACAUGGAAGUAUGGUGCUGCCCCAGAAAAGACCAAAGCGCAUGUCUCUGCCUGUGAAAGCAUUGGUAUCUGGGACACUUCCAUUUCAGGCAUACACCACAGCAACUUGCCUUUGGUUACUGCACAGUCUCUUUCCCCUUGGCUUUUUCAAGUCCUCCCUGUUGCUUCAGUCAGAGCUCACAUUUUUCUAUUAUGUGAUCUGAAAUUUGAGGAAUACAGUUUUCCUGGAAAAUUCUUGGUCAUCUCAAAGUACGUGAUGGUGUAAUUAAAGGCUGUAUGAUAAAGCAUCUGCACAAGGAAUUGGUACUGAGUGGUGUGAUGAGUUUCCAUUCUCUCGCUUCCUACUGCUCCUACUGGCUUUAAAUGUUUAUAGAGUCUGUAAUGCUCGUUUAAUUUGACUGUGUUGUGUGUCUGCGUAUGUCUAAAAUAUUAUAUGGCUAUGCAAGAUUUAUCCCGUACCUAAUUUACCGCUGUUCUUUUUAAUUUCCAUUGAAAUACAGGUUUUUGCAUUGGUUCUUUGAUUUUUCUUUCCUUAUCAAUUCUGAUUCCUUGAUUUUUCAUUUUAUUCAGCCCCACUGCAAGUUUAGGUGUAUUUAGUGGUAUCUCACUUACUUUAACAAAUGUUUUUUAUUUUUAGGGAUUUGAGUGCUUAUGAGAGGUUGAUAGCUUUUAGGCAGUAUUUCAGCUCAUCUGCUCAUCAGGUACAACACAGGUAACACCUCUGUCCUACCGAAGUCAAGCAUAAAAGCAAAAGAGUGACUGAACUAGAGAGUCCAAGUACCCUCUGACGUUUUUUCUCAAUUAGCACGUAAUUAAUUGCUUAUUUAUUUGGUAACACUGGCACCUACCUGUUGGGAACUGGACUAAAAUCUUCAAAUUAUUUCAGGUGGGUGGAUUUAACAUUAACAACCCAGAUUGCUCUACAUGGGGCUGGAUUUGAACAAAUGACAGGAAAAAGAAGACUCUUAAACAUUUAAAAUUCUGUUUUCUGUGUCACAACACAGAGAAGCUCCAGAAUCGCUGUCCCUUUCAGUUUUAGAGGUAGGAAGUGCCAUCACCAGGCAUGUGGUCCUGACCUCAGUUGGAGAAUCCUUGGCCUGGAGUCAAGCAGUGGCUUCACUCACUGAAACAUCCAAAUUAACUGUCUGCUUAGCCAGGGAUUAAAAUUCAUCCACUGAUCCAAGACGGUAAGUGAGACAAUAAUUUGCUACUCCCACUUUGCUUCACAGCAGAUCCUCAUCCAGAACAAACCUGCAGUUCAACAUCAGUUUUUAUGCCCAGAAACAACCAUGGUGGCAUUGUAAAAUUCUACCUGUAAUAACUUGAAUAAAUGGGAUAAAUAAAUGCAAAUGUAAAAAGAGAAAAUGGAUCCAGUUUUUAGUAACACAGAGACUGUAUGGCAGCAGAGUAUAAAGAUAGCUUCAGGAGUCCUGAUGCAAUCAGCGCUAACCAUUACUUUGAGUAGUAACUCGUAACAAAUAAAGUGCCAUUUCCGCUGACAAGGACCACUUCAGCGUCGCUUUUGCCACCACAGCCUAACUCUCUGCUUCUCUAACAAACCACAAGCUUGAUUGAAACGUUAUGGAGUAAAUUGCUUAAUGCUGUCUGGAGACCUCAAAUAUGUGAAGUACCCAGUGCAUAAAAAAGACAGCUUAUUUCAAAACCAAGCAUAACAAAACUGACCUGCUAGAGAACAGAGCCUCUGUCUUUUUCCCAUUGGUGUUAGAUGCUGUGCUUAUAUUUAGUAAUAAAGCAACGUAUGCUUCCAAGUCCAUAAUUUUUCUACCAAUAUACAAGACAGAACAAGUAAUAUAAUCUCAAUUAUGCAAUGCAAGGGUGGCCAUCUGGCUCCUUAGGAACUGAUUUUGACCCAGAUAACAGCAAAUGUUUUAGUAUCAGAGACAAAAGUUUUAGCUGGGACAUCUACAUCUCCAUUGAGCAACAUUAAUAAGACCAAAGCAAACAAUUUCAGGCUGUAGUACAAAAGUCAUGUUGAUGGAAAACAGUAUAUUCACUGCUGCGCUUAUAUACCCUACAUUGUCUUUGCAGAGCUAGAUUGUUCUCACCAUGGCCAACAAUAAUAGAAUAGGAAAAUAAAAAAGCUUUUCUCAAUGUAUCUGACCAAGUCAAAGAUCUAGUAUUCAUGUCAAUACAGCUUUACUAUUGCUUGUGAUGAUAAUCCUGUAUCAUCCCACCCCUGAGGUGACUAUAUCUCAAUCAUGAAUGAAUAGAUCACUAUAUAAAAGUAUGUACCUACUUUGAUGUACAGUAAUCUGACUGUAUCUCUGUGUAUCUUGGAAGGCUCCAAAACAACAGUAGGGGUCACAGUAAGUCAUUUGAGUAUAAGCUUAACGCUCAUUGCGAUAGCACUGCAGUAUUUCAUAGGUACAUGUUCAAAGGCAAAGGUUCUAUUCAUAAAUACACUGAUGUUAUAACUGACUUGGAUGGUCCUAGCAUAAAUUUAGAGAGGGGAGUAAAAUAAAAGUUUAUUAUUAUUUUCUGGGUGUGAGGAUGCCUCUUCCUGCUAACAGUGUCUGGUCCAUCUUGGUCACAGUUGUCACUCAAAAACUCCCCACUCACUCACCCGUAUCACUAAUAGAUAGAAGGUGAAAGGCAAAGUUGUCGGAGGAAGUGAAUUUAAGAUGAUGAAGACAUUUUGGACCUGCUGUGCAGCCUCUUUUUACUGUUUGGCAGUAUGCUGUUGUGGUGGGAGAGCUGCACCUAUUAAGCGGAAAGUGCAACGGGUUCUCUCUUCAGGAAUAAUUUUUCUCGCCUGCAUAUUUAUACCUUCCCCACCCUUGAUUUAGAAACUCUCAUUUGUCUUGAAACAGAUGGAUAUCAAACCCCACUCUUUCUUCAGAUUAGGAUCUAUUCAAAAUUGCCCAGGUGUAUCAGUGCCAUAGAUAAAAAGAGAUUCAGACCUUUCCUACUGUACUUGGCUCCUCCUGUGGAGAUGUUAUGACCUGCAAGCCCUGCCAGAUGGUCAGGCUGCUAGGGCUGACUUCCCUAAGCUCCACUCUGUAGCUUCAGAGUUGUCUUCUCCUGAAGGCAACUUGGAGCAAGACUCUUAUGUUAGAUGACCCAACUUGUCUUCUGGGGCAAUCCCUUUACUCACAGCUGCUGUGUACUUGCACAUACUCCUGAGGCACUGACUGUACCAUCUAUUUAAAGAGGACAUUUUUAAAAUGGGAACAAUUCAAUUGCUGGACAAAUGUUCUCUAUGCUUCAGACAUCACCAUCCAAAACAAACCAAAGCUGACCCUGUGAGUGUUCUUUCACAAGACAUGAGAAUGUUUUCUCCUGCCCAAAGGAAAACUUUUCUUGUUGACCAGGAGAUACCAUGCUGGAUUAUGCUGUUGUUCCACCUACACCAGUGUGACACCUCUUGCACUAGCCAGAAUCAGACAUAUCCAUGAAAAUGUUGGAACUAGACUGUAAUCAAGUGGAAAUGACCUCCUGGAGGACUUACUCUGUUUUCUAAGCGUCAAACAGUGACUCUUGCUUCAGUCGGAAGAAAAGCUGAUCGACUUUUACUUACUGUUGGAUCAGAACUGGUAUAUUAAUAUCAGAAGAGUGUUUAUAGUGUCAACAUUGAUUUCAAAGAAGCCAAAACUUCCAAGACUGUGUGAGUGCAACGGCAAAUUUCUCUUUCAGUUCAUUUGUUCUUCCUUAUUAAACAAUAACUUUCUACAGCAGUCGUUUAGUAAUCAACAACAAGGUGAAUUUUACAUUCACCUAAAACGAAUGAAUUUGAGAAAAAUAAAUGACGGAAUUGUGUUAGCUUUAAUGCAAAAGAUUUUGUUUCUGAAGUCUCUAUCAUUAUAUUCUGCAAAGGAAUUAAGAAGAUGACAUGAUUAGCAGAUAGGAAAAAUACCUGUGGAAAAGCUAGUCACUAUAACUGUUUGAUCUAUUCCAUAGGUAUAAUGAUCAUAAGGAGCUUUCUGAUCUUGCACUUAAAAGAUUUACAACUUGCAGACAUCUUGGGGAGUACCAUUGAUUUCACAGAAUCUUGAAUAUUGACACAACAAACCAGUGCUAAAAAUGCUAAAAGUUCUGCUUGUGGAUAGCCCAGACAUUUGAUGCUGUUUGCUUUGGGCUCACAGUUAAUUUUUAACAUUGUGGGCACAAGCCAGUGACCCUGUGUUCUUGCUCAGGAAUGUCUGACCAUUCACCAGCUCCCAGUUUCUACUGAAUGUCCACUAUACUGGAAUAUUUUGGUGUUUAAAGAUGCACCCUGUUCAAACUUUACUGUGGUGUUAUUGACUUUUCAUCAGAUAUCGAGCGCUGUGGAAUAUUGUUGCUUUGGAGUGAAGGUGCAUUGAGCUCUGAGAAAAAUUUGUGAAAACUAAGGAUCACUCGGGGAGGAAUUGAAUGGCUUUUGGUUAUAAUUUCUUAUUAGAUUUAAGAAACUGCUUAAUGAAAUCAAGAUGGAGCACUUUGAAUGCAGUAAAAUUAUUACUUUAGGUUGUUGUUUAACAACAACAGAAAUAUGUAAGUAGAGCAUUGUAGAUAUAUUAAGACCUGUGCAACUAGUAAUACAAUUGAAAAGAGAGACAUACUUAUCCCGAGUUUAAUUUAUUUGUGGCUAGCAAGUUAUAAUUAACGCAAACCCUAUUCACUGCAUAUUUACAACUUUAUCAUACAGGGACCAUAAAGUGGAACUGUAUUGGGUGAUUUAUUUUGUGGCUGGUUUUUUUUCUGCUUCUGUGUACACAUCUAAAUCAUGAAGAGAAAAUGAGAGCACUAGCAAAAUCCAAAUACUUUAUUUAAAACAAAAUGUGUAAUUGUUCAGAAAUAGACUAUUGACUUUCACUGGGUUCAACAGCUCAUGUACUGAUUAGGCUUGAAGCUAUAAUUGUUCUUGUCACCCAAACUCUACUCAGUCAAUAUCUUUUUAUCAUAUACAUUUUUAAUCACAUAUUAAUAAACAAGAAGGUGUGCUUUA